UACGAAGGGGGCUAGCGUUGUUCGGGUUUACUGGGCGUAAAGCGCACGUAGGCGGAUCGUUAAGUCGGGGGUGAAAUCCUGGAGCUCAACUCCAGAACUGCCUUCGAUACUGGCGAUCUUGAGUCCGGAAGAGGUGAGUGGAACUCCUAGUGUAGAGGUGGAAUUCGUAGAUAUUAGGAAGAACACCAGUGGCGAAGGCGGCUCACUGGUCCGGUACUGACGCUGAGGUGCGAGAGCGUGAGGAGCAAACAGG
rnacentral:rRNA from 1 species